GCACCGCUACCAACGGUGC
rnacentral:misc_RNA from 1 species